rnacentral:rRNA from 1 species
GCCGGUGACAAACCGGAGGAAGGUGGGGACGACGUCAAGUCAUCAUGGCCACUUAUGGGUAGGGCUUCACACGUCAUACAAUGGCGCGUACAGAGGGUUGCAAACCCGCGAGGCGGAGCCAAUCCCAGAAAGCGCGUCGUAGUCCGGAUUGCAACUCGACUGCAUGAAGUCAGGAAUCGCUAGUAAUCGCAGAUCAGAUGCACGCAGGUAA